rnacentral:lncRNA from 1 species
CAGCAAACCUGCUUGUAAGUGAUAAGACAAGGAGGGGGAGAGCAGCAGAGAUGGUGCUGAAGGGUUUAUACUGACUUCCUGGACAUUCAAGGUGCAGUAUCAUUUCUGUGGCUGCUCCUGCCUCGCUGGAAAAUGCAAAGAACUUUUAGUGGUUCUGCAACCGAGGGUGGGUGCAGAGACAGACCUGCACUCAGGGACUGCAGCUGGCACUGUGCUACAAGCAAGUCUGUGAAAGUAUUUGGCUGCCUUAAAAUCACAAAUUAA